GACGUUCCCUUCGGGGACAUGGAUACAGGUGGUGCAUUCUUGUCGUCAGCUCGUGUCGUGAGAUGUUGGGUUAAGUCCCGCAACGAGCGCAACCCUUAUUAUCAGUUGCCAGCAUUAAGUUGGGCACUCUGGUGAGACUGCCGGUGACAAACCGGAGGAAGGUGGGGAUGACGUCAAAUCAUCAUGCCCCUUAUGACCUGGGCUACACACGUGCUACAAUGGAUGGUACAACGAGUUGCGAACUCGCGAGAGUAAGCUAAUCUCUU
rnacentral:rRNA from 1 species